AUGGCCAUAGCAAUGCCAGCCCCAGCUGCAGCUUGCUCGCUUCUUCUGCUUCUCCUUGUGGUGGCGGCGCCGGUGGCCGCCCGGAAUCCCAAGAUCGAUGAGUGUGUCAUCCAUGAUGUCCGUUGGGCCGCUUGGGCCGACCCGGAGCAGUUGACGGAGGGCCUCGGCAUCCCGGAGCGCACGUUCAGCGCCUUCAUCUUCGACCUCUCCGUCGGGCGGCAGGCCCUCUCGGUCGUCAUGGACAUCUCCAGCGAGCUCGUCUGGGUGCAGUGCUCGCCCGGGCUCAGGCCCACGCCCACCUUCCUGCCCGACCACUCCGGCUCCUUCGCCCCGGUCGCCCCCUGCCCAUCAUUCGUGCGCAACAACUCUGGCUCCUUUGGCCAGAUCCACUACGCCGACCGGACCUGCAACCCCGGCGACCACGGCUGCGAAGCCCGCUGCGGGUACGUGGAGCACAUCUACGGCGCCGGCAACACGUCCGGCUACCUCGCCACCGACAGGUUCGGUUUGGGGAACACGAAGGUCAGCGGCAUGGUGUUCGGCUGCAGCUGCAGCCACAACGUCACGAUGUUGAGCGACCUCGACGGAGCUUCCGGCUUUCGGAUUCAGCAGGGGCCCCCUCUCCCUCGUGUCGCAGCUCCAGAUCUCAAGGUUCUCCUACUUCACCACGCUCCCCGGCGACCCCGACAACAGCAAGGCCUUCGUUAG
rnacentral:rRNA from 1 species